UACGGGGGGGGCAAGCGUUGUUCGGAAUUACUGGGCGUAAAGGGCUCGUAGGCGGCCAACUAAGUCAGACGUGAAAUCCCUCGGCUUAACCGGGGAACUGCAUCUGAUACUGGAUGGCUUGAGAUUGGGAGAGGGAUGCGGAAUUCCGGGUGUAGCGGUGAAAUGCGUAGAUAUCUGGAGGAACACCGGUGGCGAAGGCGGCAUCCUGGACCAACACUGACGCUGAGGUGCGAAAGCGUGGGGAGCAAACAGG
rnacentral:rRNA from 1 species